rnacentral:rRNA from 1 species
CAGCAGCCGCGGUAAUACCGGCGGCCCGAGUGGCGGUCACUAUUAUUUGGCUUAAAGCGUCCGUAGCCGGGUUGGGAAGUCCUCCGGGAAAUCUGGCCGCUUAACGGUCAGAAUGCCGGAGGAUACUCCCAGCCUAGGGAGCGGGAGAGGCCGAGGGUAUUCCCGGAGUAGGGGGGAAAUCCUAUAAUCCCGGGAGGACCACCUGUGGCGAAGGCGCUCGGCUGGAACGCGUCCGACGGUGAGGGACGAAGGCCAGGGGAGCAAACCGGAUUAGAUACCCGGGUAGUCCUGGCUGUAAACGAUGCGGACUUUGUGUCGGACAAGCUAUGAGCUUGUCCGGUGCCGGAGGGAAACCGUUAAGUCCGCCGCCUGGGGAGUACGGCCGCAAGGUUGAAACUUAAAGGAAUUGGCGGG